rnacentral:rRNA from 1 species
AAUUGUUCGCAAUGGGCGCAAGCCUGACGACGCAACGCCGCGUGGAGGAUGAAGGCCUUCGGGUCGUAAACUCCUGUUGAUCGGGAAGAACGGGCUCCGGGUGAAUAUCCCGGAGCAGUGACGGUACCGAUUGAGGAAGCCACGGCUAACUCUGUGCCAGCAGCCGCGGUAAUACGUAGGCAGCGAGCGUUGUUCGGAGUUACUGGGCGUAAAGAGUGCGUAGGCGGUGCGGCAAGUCUGGUGUGAAAUCUCCCGGCUUAACUGGGAGGGUGCGCUAGAAACUGCCGUGCUAGAGUGUGGGAGAGGUAAGCGGAAUUCCUGGUGUAGCGGUGAAAUGCGUAGAUAUCAGGAGGAACACCUGCGGUGUAGACAGCUUACUGGACCAUAACUGACGCUGAGGCACGAAAGCGUGGGUAGCAAAC